rnacentral:rRNA from 1 species
AAUUAUGGCUAUGCCACCUAAACAAGCCUGAUCCUGUCUGAUCUCGGAAUCUAAGCAGGGUUGGGCCUGAUUAGUACUUGGAUGGGAGACCACCUAGGAAGACCAGGUGCUGCAGGCG